rnacentral:lncRNA from 1 species
UUUAACAUAGAGUUGCACAGAGGGAGGCACAGAGAUCUAACUAGGAGUUACUACUACUAAAUAGCAGAAAUGUCAGAUGAAAUGUCAGUGGAGAUCUUGAAGUAAUUAUACCCACUAAAAACCUCCAAUUAAGAUGUUACUUUCCACCAGAGACAAUGGGCCAGAUUCUGUAUCCAAGGUAACUCCACAAAGCACUUUAGAGACGGCCUGAAUGUACACCCCACUCAAAGGAUUCAUGGACCAUAAUUAGAGGCAGCGAAGCCCAGACAUGACAAGAGGACGAAGAUGAUGUUAAAACUGUAUAACAGGAUGGAGCUUCCCAGAAAACUACGGCUCAUUAAACUGGAAAAAGUCACAAGCUCUGUCACCCUAUCAAAUUGGGUUUACCUUUUGUCAGCAUGAAAGCACCUGGCAGAACUGGCACAAUCAUCCAUGCCAACACCACCCAGCUACCGAAGUGGCCCACAAGUGAAGCACCCUGAAAGGCCUGGUAUAGGGAUUUAACUUAGUGUGUUGACUAUAUC